CAGAGGGCGCGCUUUCUUGGCUCCGCCCCUCGGCGUUAGGCCUUCGCUUUCCAGCUGUGGCGCGUCCCGAGCCGGAUGUGACAGCCUGCAAGCAUAAACUGAACAAAGAGCCCUUUGGAGAAAAUUGAGAAAAGUCUAUCAUUUGCUUGCAUUUCUGAUGUGGUAAAGGGGCAGGGUGAUUUGACUUGAUUUGUUCAGAAAUGAUCUCAGAGGCACAAGGACAUCUGACAUAGUGUCUUGUUCUUGAUCAUGGGCUGAUUUGUUGGUGUAAGUCUCAUUUCAGCACAAGUUAUCCGCUACAGACUUUUCUCCACUCGCUUCCUGACAAACACAAGGAGCAAAUGUGAGAAGGCCAUGGGCAUGCAGAAGAUAACUGCGUCCUGACCAGUACUGGAAGGACUCUGAAAGGACGGAGUGGGUGGGGAUUAGGAGAACGCAUGCCCGGACUUCUCUCAUGC
ensembl:lncRNA